GACGUAGGGCGCGAGCGUUGUCCGGAUUUAUUGGGCGUAAAGAGCUCGUAGGCGGUUUGUCGCGUCGUCCGUGAAAACUCACAGCUUAACUGUGAGCUUGCGGUCGAUACGGGCAGGCUAGAGUUCGGUAGGGGAGACUGGAAUUCCUGGUGUAGCGGUGAAAUGCGCAGAUAUCAGGAGUAACACCGGUGGCGAAGGCGGGUCUCUGGGCCGAUACUGACGCUGAGGAGCGAAAGCGUGGGGAGCGAACAGG
rnacentral:rRNA from 1 species